rnacentral:rRNA from 1 species
CGGAACACGUACAGAACCUUCCUUUAAGCGGGGGAGUAGCCCGGAGAAAUCCGGAUUAAUACCCCAUGGUAAUGUUGGGUGGCAUCACCUGAUAUUUAAAGAUUUAUCACUUAGAGAUGGCUGUGCGGCUGAUUAGGUAGUUGGUGCGGGUAAAGGCCCACCAAGCCAGCGAUCAGUAACUGGCGUGAGAGCACGACCAGUCACACGGGCACUGAGACACGGGUCCG